GGCGCAAGCCUGAUCCAGCCAUGCCGCGUGUGUGAAGAAGGCCUUUUGGUUGUAAAGCUCUUUAAGCGAGGAGGAGGCUACUUGGAUUAAUACUCUGAGAUAGUGGACGUUACUCUGACAACAAGCACCGGCAAACUCUGUGCCAGCGGCCGCGGUAAUACUGAGGGUGCGAGCGUUAAUCGGAUUUACUGGGCGUAAAGCGUGCGUAGGCGGCUUCUUAAGUCGGAUGUGAAAUCCCUGAGCUUAACUUAUGAAUUGCAUUCGAUACUGGGAAGCUAGAGUAUGGGAGAGGAUGGUAGAAUUCCAGGUGUAGCGGUGAAAUGCGUAGAGAUCUGGAGGAAUACCGAUGGCGAACGCAGCCAUCUGGCCUAAUACUGACGCUGAGGUACGAAAGCAUGGGGAGCAAACAGGAUUAGAUACCCUGGUAGUCCAUGCCGUAAACGAUGUCUACUAGCCCUUGGGGCCUUUGAGGCUUUAGUGGCGCAGCUAACGCGAUAAGUAGACCGCCUGGGGAGUACGGUCGCAAGACUAAAACUCAA
rnacentral:rRNA from 1 species